rnacentral:rRNA from 1 species
AUUGAACGCUGGCGGCAGGCCUAACACAUGCAAGUCGAACGAGUGGCGGACGGGUGAGUAAUGUCUGGGACACUGCCUGAUGGAGGGGGAUAACUACUGGAAACGGUAGCUAAUACCGCAUACCAUCAGCUGUGCCCCUAUGGGAUUGGCUUGUUGGUGGGGUCACGGCUCACCAGGGCGACGAUCCCUAGCUGGUCUGAGCGGAUGACCAGCCACCCUGGAACGGAGACACGGUCCAGACUACUAAGGGAGGCAGCAGUGGGGAAUAUUGCACAAUGGGCGCAAGCCUUACGCAGCCAUGCCGCGUGUAUGACGGAGGCCUUCGGGUUGGAAAGUACGUUCAGCGGGGAGGCGUUACCGGCAGAAGAAGCACCGGCUAACUCCGUGCCAGCAGCCGCGGUAAUAC